CCAAGGUCACGCUCCCACUUGUGCCUCUGCCGAGGCCUGCCGCCCAUGCCUCGAAGUCUGAGGACACUGACCUGGACAUGAGGCAUACGAAGGAGAGACGGGAGGUGACGGACUUGCAAUUGGUUGUGGUGUCAUUGGCCUCUCUCUCCCAAAGGGGAGCGAGUAGGGACCGGACGUGCCGGAGGAGACCAGGGCCGCCAUGGAUGGAGCCAUCGAGGAGAUGAAGCUCUUCUAAUCCACCAUCCGGACACUGGGCUUGUUAGUGACCCUGGUUCACAGCUCGCAGUUUAUUGAAUAUAUAUGUAUUCAUCUUGCGGAAACGGGAAGACCGGAACCGCGAGCUGGCCUCCGAGAAUUUGGAGCUACGCAAACAGCUUGAGGCCCGGCGGUGCGCCAAUGAGAACUUGGAGCGCGCAUGUGCUCCCCCCGAGGAGGUGGCCCAGCUCCAGCAAGCUUGAAGGAUACCAACCGCCUGCGCGAUGAGGCGAAGGACGCCAUGCGUGCUGACGAGGAGGCCAGUGGUCUGAAGAAGGCCAUCCGUGGCUUAUUUUGACAAAGAUUACCCUAUUUAAGGGAAAUUCUUUCAUCUUAAUCAAAUUUAACCACAUAUGUGGUGGGUUUUAUUCCUUAUUGCACUUCCUACCAAGAUGGUCCCAUAUGCCACUCGAUUUUUUUCCCGUCCAGCCAGACAUGCUUACGUUUAGAUGCAUAUGAAUAUGACAUAUGUGGCUAUAAUUGUGUUCAAUACACAUAUUUCAAUAUGUGGUAUGUACACAUUUUUUCUUGCGGGUAAUAUGUGGUACAUAUACAAAAGGGAUAAAUGUGUGGAUC